rnacentral:rRNA from 1 species
UACGUAGGGUGCGAGCGUUAAUCGGAAUUACUGGGCGUAAAGCGUGCGCAGGCGGUUUUGUAAGCCAGAUGUGAAAGCCCCGGGCUCAACCUGGGAAUGGCAUUUGGGACUGCAAGGCUUGAGUGCGGCAGAGGAGACUGGAAUUCCUGGUGUAGCAGUGAAAUGCGUAGAUAUCAGGAGGAAUACCGAUGGCGAGGGCAGGUCUCUGGGCUGACACUGACGCUCAUGCACGAAAGCGUGGGGAGCAAACAGG